GGAACACAGUGGCAGAAGGAAGUGUGAGUCCACACUUCCUGUUGCUCCAUUCCCCAGCCCUUGCAGAAAGAGCAAGGAACAGCAGGGGCAAGUUUACAGGAAAAAGGUGACAAGACAGCAUAUGCAGGAAGGUGGAUGGCAACUCUACCUCCAAAAGAACUGUGAUUUCAAACUGAGCUAUGAAAGCAUUUCAUUUCUGCAUCACUUCAAGCAACUGUGUUGGAACUGCUUAGAGAACAGUACUUUAUAGUUCUACUAGCACAUCUUCCGUCUGAGGAUCUAUGGGACUAACCCAGGAAAAGCCUUGCCUAUUUGGUUCUACUUGGAAAAGCCUAGAUAAAACCAGACAUCUUUGAGAGAAAUGCUAUCGCUUAUUUCAUUGGAGUGAACUAUCAGGUCCCAACAUGACAUAAUUAAGGGUUCAAAGUUCCCCUGCAAGUUACUCCUGUACCUAUUCGGGAACUCCUGUAUGAUGCAGGAAGAAUUUUACAAGUGCUGCUAAGAACAGCCAUGUGAUACAGACCAGUGUCGUUUCCAUCUUUCCAAGUAGGUACAGAGGGAGCAAGACAGUGAUUUGACCAAGGUUACCCAGUGAGUCCUUUGCAAAGCAGGGAUUUGAACUAGAACUCACAACAUGCUGUUAACUGAACUAUAACAUUAAA